rnacentral:rRNA from 1 species
UACGUAGGGGGCAAGCGUUGUCCGGAUUCAUUGGGCGUAAAGAGCGUGUAGGCGGCCAGGUAGGUCGGUUGUGAAAACUGGAGGCUCAACCUUCAGAGGUCGACCGAAACCAUCUGGCUAGAGUCCGGGAGAGGAGAGUGGAAUUCCUGGUGUAGCGGUGAAAUGCGCAGAUAUCAGGAAGAACACCCGUGGCGAAAGCGGCUCUCUGGAACGGUACUGACGCUGAGACGCGAAAGCGUGGGGAGCGA